rnacentral:rRNA from 1 species
AUUGAACGCUGGCGGCAUGCUUUACACAUGCAAGUCGAACGGUAACAGGUUAAGCUGACGAGUGGUGAACGGGUGAGUAAUGCAUCGGAACGUGCCCGAUCGUGGGGGAUAACGCAGCGAAAGCUGCGCUAACACCGCAUACGUUCUACGGAAGAAAGUGGGGGACCUUCGGGCCUCAUGCUUUUGGAGCGGCCGAUGUCUGAUUAGCUAGUUGGUGAGGUAAAGGCUCACCAAGGCGACGAUCAGUAGCUGGUCUGAGAGGACGACCAGCCACACUGGGACUGAGACACGGCCCAGACUCCUACGGGAGGCAGCAGUGGGGAAUUUUGGACAAUGGGCGCAAGCCUGAUCCAGCAAUGCCGCGUGAGUGAAGAAGGCCUUCGGGUUGUAAAGCUCUUUUGUCAGGGAAGAAACGGCUGAGGAUAAUACCUUCGGCUAAUGACGGUACCUGAAGAAUAAGCACCGGCUAACUACGUGCCAGCCGCCGCCGUAA